CAGUCGCCACGGGAAUACGAAGGGUGCAAGCGUUAAUCGGAAUUACUGGGCGUAAAGCGCGCGUAGGUGGUUUGGUAAGAUGGAUGUGAAAUCCCCGGGCUCAACCUGGGAACUGCAUCCAUAACUGCCUGACUAGAGUACGGUAGAGGGUGGUGGAAUUUCCUGUGUAGCGGUGAAAUGCGUAGAUAUAGGAAGGAACACCAGUGGCGAAGGCGACCACCUGGACUGAUACUGACACUGAGGUGCGAAAGCGUGGGGAGCAAACAGGAUUAGAUACCCCUGUAGUCCCUGUCUCUUAACA
rnacentral:rRNA from 1 species